CCUGGACCUUCCACAGUCAGAGUCAUAACGCUUCAGCGCGCUGUGCUCCAGAGGCCCUGCGGCGGGAUGUGGAGCUGCCGACUGGCUCUGGCCCAAAACUGUGCGCUGGAGGGACUGCCUGAAGCCAAAACGGGGCAGGGCACCGCGCAUGCCCGGCGCAAAACUGCUGUACUCUACGGCCUUCCGGGAGCCCUCAGGCGGUCCAAACUGACCUGUUUGUCCGUGUCUCUGGCGAAGUGGAUUUCAUCCCCCUCACAGACUGACUCCGUUAUGGCUAUGGGAAUCGGUGUUGGGAGAACAGCUGGAGGCGUUGACAUAUGUUUUGUGUGGUAAGUACAGAGGCUGGGAGCCAUCCGCUGCUGCUUCUGAUAGGCAUCUCAGUAAGAUUAAGAUGAAUGGUGAUCAAAUCAUGGUCAGCGAACUCUGUCAGGGGGUGGAAAACCCAGCAGUCAGUUAAAUUUAAUGUGCCUUCAGGGUUUGGGAGAAUUGCUCCAGAGUGCUUUCCUUCUUUGAGCAAGGCUUUGGGGUGAAUCUUAAAGAGAUCAUUAACAUUCCUCCCUCCCUCAGACUUCCCUGGGUCUAAAACAUGUCACUGAGGUGUUUCCCUCUCUUUUGCCGCAAAAGUCAGAGUGGUCCGGUUCCAGCAGGUAUAACUUCACCCUUUUCCAAGUCGUUCCCUACACUCACUUGAAGAUCUUUCAUCUGGAGUGGUCAGUUCAGGGACAAGGAAAUUUUUAAAAAUUUACAGAGUUCCAUUAUGAUCUCACUUUGGCCCACUAUAGAGGGACUUGGCAAGCAGUGUACUUGACUAAGUAGUCAUUAUCCUUGGGAUCUAGGACUCUCUCAGUCAAACAAAGUAAUCUAGACGGCUGAAUCAAGAAUUAAAUUUGAAUGCUCUGGGCCUUCUUUUGGCCAGCCGGACACUUCUAGGGUGUUGUAGUUAAGGAAAGUAAAGAAGCAUCAUGUCCCACAAUAAACAGAUGAAGUCCUGAGUUUUUAAAAUGGAUCUGUAUAAUUUCCCACCCCUUGUGUUCUGAUCAUUAACCAGGAGGCAUUGGAGGUGGGUGAUCCCAUUCUGCGAAUAGACACAUAGAGUGACAAAACUUCCCUACUGAACAUGAGGAAAAUUUUGUCUUGGGGGAAAUAGCAUGGUUGUGAAAUUAAAAAAUUAUCAUUUUGCUAUUUGUUUGCUUUAGCCAAAUAGCCGAGGUAGGUUAUUCUAAAAUAAACUUGAUUUGGUCUUUUCCUGUUUUAUAUUGCCUUCAAUGAAAAAGAAAUUUUCAAACAUUGGUUUAAAACUCAAUUGCAUACUAUGGAAACAGUACAACAUCUACCAUAAAUAUAGAGGCUGUGUAUUAUACUAAAAAGAAUAUUGAGCCUGUUUAUAGCCAUGUCUUAGAAAAUUCUAUUUGCUUCUCUGUAUAUGUUUCCCUAUUUGUAAAAGGGAAUGGACCAGCUGGUCAUUAACACUUCUUAAGCUCUAACUGCUGAUAAUUUUGAUUAGCCCCUGGAGUGUUUGGCUGGAUUUAUAUUUGCUUCCCCUUAACAAAUAUAAAUAAUUUAUAAAUAAUUGGGAGGUUCAUCUAUUCAAAUUAUUUGGCUAGAAAUAUCUCUGUUAUGUUUUGUACCCAACCAUUUCCAUUAUUCCUGUGUCUUCCAUGGUUCCUGCUCAUAAUGGUGAGACAAUAUCAUGGUAUAUUUUUUCCAACUUUAUUGAGAUAUAAUUGACAUAUAACAUUAUGUAAGUCUAAGGUGUACAAUGUGGUGAUUUGAUACACAUAUAUAUUCUGAAAUGAUUACCACAAUAAGGUUAGUUAAUGCAUCUAUCACCUCACAUAAUUACCUUUUCUUCUUUUUUUUGGUGAGAGCAUUUAAGAUCUACUCUCUUUGAAAAUUUCUAGUAUAUAGUACAGUAUUGUUAACUAUAGCCACCAUGCUGUGCAUUAGAUCCCCAGAACUAUUUCAUCGUAUAACUGGAAGUUUGUACCCUUUGACCAACAUCUCUCCAUGUCUCCAUCCCCCAGCCCCUGGCAACUACCAUUCUGUUCUCUGUUUCUAUGAGUUCAGCUUUUAUAGAUUCCACAUAUAAGUGAGAUCAUACAUAUUUGUCUUUUUCUAUCUGAAUUAUUUCACUUAGGAUAACGCCCUCAAGGUCCAUCCUUGAUGUUACAAAUGGCAGGAUUUCCUGCUGUUUUAUGGCUGAAUAAUAUUCCAUUGUGUAUAUAUACCACAUUUUCUUUCCAUUCAUUCAUUGAUGAACAUUUAGGUUGUUUCCAUGUCUUGGCUAUUUUGAACAAUGCUGCAGUGAAUAUGGAGGUACACAUAUCUCUUCAAGAUAGUGAUUUUGUUUUCUUUGGAUAUAUACCCGGAAGUAGAAUUGCUGUAUCAUAUGGUAUCUCUGUUUUUAAUUUUUUUUUUUUUUUGAGGAAGAUUAGCCAUGAGCUAACUACUGCCAAUCCUCCUCUUUUUGCUGAGGAAGACUGGUCCUGAGCUAACAUUCGUGCCCAUCUUCCUCUACUUUAUACCUGGGAUGCCUACCACAGCAUGGCUUUUUGCCAAGCAGUGCCCUGUCUGCACCCAGGAUCUGAACCAGCGAACCCUGGGCCACCAAGAAGCGGCAUGUGUGCACUUAACUGCUGCGCCACCUGGCUGGCCCUCUGUUUUUAAUUUUUUGAGGAACUUCCAUACUGUUUUUUCUAGUGGUUGAACAAAUUACAUGCCGUCCAACAGUGCACGAUGGUUCUGUUUUCUCCCCGUAUCCUUGCCAACUCUUGUUAUCUCUUGUCUUUUUGUUAAUAGCCAUUCUAACAAGUGUGAAGUAAUAGCUCUUUGUGGUUUGGAUUUGCAUUUCCCUGAUGAUCAGUGAUGUUGGGCACCUUUAUGUGUACCUGAUGGCCAUUUGUAUGUCUUCUUUGGAAAAAUGUCUAGGCAGAUCUUCUGCUUAUUUUUUAAUCCUAUUGAGUUUUUUGCUAUUGAGUUGUAUGAGUUCCUUAUAUAUUUUGGAUAUUAACUUCUUAUCAGAUAUAAAGUUUUCAAGUAUUUUCUCCCAUUGCAUAAGUUGUUUAAUUUUGUUAAUUGUUUCUUUUGCUGUGCAGCUUUUUAGUUUGAUAUACUCUCACUCAUUUAUUUGUUGUUGUUGUUGUUGCUUGUGCUUUUGGUGUCAUAUCCAAAAAAUUGUUGCCAAGACCAGUCAAGGAGCUUUUUCCCUAUGUUUUAUUCUAGGAAUGUUACUGUUUCAACUCUUACAUUUAAGUCUUUAGUCUAUUUUGAGUUAAUUUUUCUAAGUAAUAUAAGAUAGGGGUCCAUUUCACACUUUUGCAUGUGGUUAUCUAGUUUUUCCAACACCAUUUAUUGAAGAAACUAUCCUUUCCCAUUGCAUAUUCUUGGAUUCCUUGUCAAAUAUUAGUUGGCAUAUUGAUGAAUUACUUAAUAAAUAUAAACCAAUCCUUCUACUAAAGUAGGUAAGGAACAAAUGGGAAAGAUUCAACGGGGAGAAAAUAUGGCAAAGAGAAUAGUAAAAGUAAAUUUUCUUUGUUUUCUGUGAGUACAAAGAAUCUAUCUUCUCCAUUGUACCCCCAUCCAUUCUUCUAAAAACUUAGUCAUAGUACUUCUAAUUGGAGGCUUAUCCAACAUUAAUUCUAAACUUCUUAAUAUAAUAUUUAACUUUUUUUAUGAUUUGGUCUCAAUCUGCCAUGCCAGUUGAAACUUCGAGUUUCACAUAUCUUCACAUACCUUGUAUUCAGAAACCUCAAAUUAGCAUUCCAACAGGGUCAGGAAAUAAUGGCAUAAGUGAAGCGUGCCAGGUUUGUGUCAUAAUGGUGAUCCAAGUGCAUAUUAAAACCAAAUAAAGAGAUGUAUUCUUCAUUUCCCUAAAGUAAUAUUUCUUCUAUUUUAUCUUAUUUAUGUUUCCAUAAUAGAUACAAUAUGUACUUCAACUUUUUUCUUAACUUCAGUAUUUGAAAAAGAAAAGAAAAAAGAUCAUCACAAGGUUGAUGAGAAAUGAUGAUUCCAAGCUUCAUUGUUGAGGAGACAAAAGGGAAUAUUGGAGACUGUGGUAAACAUCAGAAUGAAUGCUUUAUAUAAGAGAUACGUGUGCUGCUGGAAUCUAAACAGUUUUUGUUAUGAGAUAAUGUAGAUCUGGUGUUAUAGCAUCUUCCAAACUUUAGGAAUAUAUGGGGAUUUAACUGGGGGUGGGAAUGGUGGUCAUAUUGUCUUCAGCACUUAAAGUAGUAAAACAAAAAAGCAUGCCCUCACCGAGUUCACAGUCUACUGGGGAAAGUGCCAGCAAUAUACAUACUAAAUGAGUGAAUUAUAUAAUAUUUUUAAAUAUGAUGACUGCUAUGGAGAAAGAAUAAGGCAUAGUAAAGGAGAUAGGGAAUAAUGGGUGAGAUUGCAAUUUUAAAUAGAGUAGUCAGUAUGUUACGAUUUGAAGGAGAUGAAGGAACAAGUCAUGCUGGUAUCGGAGGACAAGAACUGCAGGCAGAAGAAGCUAUUAGUGUAAAAGAUGGCGUGUUGAAGGAAGGGCAAGAAAGCCAAAGUGGCUACAGCAAAGUGAGAGAGGUAGGCAAUGAGGUCAGAGAGGUAAGGCUAUGGUGUGGGCAGUUCUUGAAGGUUCCUAUACAGAAUUGUAAGGAAUUUGAUUUGUUUCUGAAUGAAAUAGGGAACUGUUGAAGAGUGUAAUUUUUUUUUUCCAUGUGGAAUCUCAAGCUUUUAAAGACUGGGGACUAUUUACUUUUUUUCUUCAAUCUGAACAUGUCAAUCUGUGGCUAUGUGCAGCCAGACUCAUGUGGCAGGCAGCCAGUUUGCGAGUUCUGCUACUGAAAUGUUUUUUGUUGUCUCAUCCUUUCAUGAUCACGUCUUGCAUUUGAAAUAUUCUUUGUCUUGCAUUUAAAAUAUUUCCCCUCAAUAUCUUAAACUGAAUUGUUCCAUAACCUAUUUCUAUUUCUCAGUUAACUUAGAGGAUUCCCCAGUCCUACUUACUGUUCCCUGUCUCAUUUUUGCUUCCUGCCAUUUCAUGCAUCCUGGGCUCAGCUUUGCUCUUCUGUGUGAUUUGGCUCCUAAUUAGACUGCUAGCACUGUCCUUUACCCUGCUUCUUACAGUUAAUGUUGAGUGGAACAUGCUCGUUGAUAUGUAACAAAUCUGUACCACUGUCAGAAUGAGCAUCUUCUCCUGACACUUCUCGGCCUUCUGAUUCCUCCCGUUAUGAAUGUUGACUCUUCAAUCAACUUCUUACAGGUUUGGCGCUGUUAUGAGAAGGGAAGCAAAUUAAUCCACCCUGUUCCAUUAAAAACCUCCACUGACCAAAAGAGAACUUGUUGAAAUACUUUUAAAGAGAGGGCAGUAAAGGUAGCUUUGGAAUAGUUCAUUGUUAUCAGCAAUGUUAUAUUCUUUUUCAGUUUACAGAACUUUGCCUGUAAAAAAUGGAACAGCUACACAUUUGGAUGGGACACCUUUAUAAGUAAUGAGAUCUUAGAAUUUAAAUGAGAGAGACAUUUAAGCACUCCUCCUUCUAAAUUUUCAAGUUAAAUGGUCAAGAGUCAUCACAUAUAUAGCUCUACUUAAGGCAAUCGACUUGCCCCAGGCCAUCAGAACCAGCGCUAGAGUCUUUGAAUUUUGCUAAUAAUUCAUUUUGCUGCUGCUAAGACAAUACCUCAUUCUCAACUAAUGUGAAUAAAUUACUACUUUCCAACUUCAUUUGAAAAGGAAUUAGAUUAAGUGAAACAGUUUAUAUUGAGUGUUUGCUAAAUAAGACAUUUUGAAAUAGAUGGUAUUUCGAAGAUAAAACAACAAUGGAUUUCACCUUUGUGGAAAUGAGAUCCUAACCAUUUUGAUAAGAACUAUAGUCUAAAGGAAAUCCUGAGUCAACAUAAAGCAGUAGGGUUUUUUUUCCCUAUAGAGGUGAAACCACAUAGCAGAUGAAUGGCAUAUUGUGUAAAGUACGAAUUAAAGAAAGAAUAUAAUGGAGAACUUUUAGUAAAGUUUCAAUUUUAGUAAAAUAGAAAAUUUUUUGCAGGAUCUUUAAAUUAAUUCCUUGGAGGAUUAUUUCUUUCUGAACAUGUCUUUCUGAACAUUAUUCUCUAUGAUAUAAGAACAGUAGAUGUUCUGGAUCAUUCACUUUGGAAUCAAGAAAGAUUUUAUGGAAAUCCAGAAAUUAUUUUGUUAAAAAAUAACAGCAAGGUAUCAUAAUAAAAUGCAUUCAGCAGAUUAAAUAUGAGGAAACAGAAAUUUUUAAAAAUAUACAAAUAUUCUGAAAUGCUUUCAACAUUAGUUUUGGGUGAUUUCUUUUGUGAUUAUUCAAAUUGUUAGCAGUUACUCUGUUUUAUUAUUGCUGUUUGUUUUCAUACACAUAGACUAAAAGGUUUACACUUAAACGAGAAGAUGCCUACUUCAAUCACUUAUGUCACACUAAGCAAAACCACAAAAUUUGAGUUUAUGCUAACGUGGAGAAUUUAAUGAAUGCAAAAACUAACCCCAGUAACAAGAAAUCAGAUUAUUACUCUCAAGAAAUAAUGCUAGGUGAAUUUUCAGCAUGAGAAGUUAUUUUUCAGGAAAAAGCAAUCUGAUUGAAUUCGUAUAGCUGUUCAGAUCACAAGGACUGCUUUUACUGCUAUUACUGUUUGGUCCUCAUCUUGGAGUGACAUUGUCCCCUUCUCUAGCUUUGAUCUUAACAAAGAGAAAAAAGAUAUUUUGGUGAAAAUGUUUGGAAACUUGUUGACACUUCUUAUGGGUAUCUUUCCUGUUUUGUUUUUUGUUUUCCUAACCAUGUCCUUAUUUGUCAUUCAUUUAUAUAUGAUAACAUUGAUUCGUUAACUUAUUCAUUCCACAGAUUCCACAUAUAUCUCAUUUGUGAAGUGGGAACUUAAUGUACCUGGAUCAAGACUUUAAGAACAUUUCAAGCACAAGAUAGUGCAAACUCAUGAUUUAUUCUUGUCUUUAAAAGUACACACACUUUUAUGAUUAAUUUUGGCAGCCUUAACUGUUCUUGUUAAAGACUUUCUAAAUUCACCCAAAUAUCUGGAGUUAUACUAUCCAGUGAUCAAGCACUUUCAUGUGUUGAAGCUCCAGCUUUCUUAGAAUACCUUGAUAAACAUGAAGUAAUUUAUGAAAUACUUACUAAUUGCAAAGCACUGUGUUAGAUACGGAGAAAUGCAUUCCCUGCCUAUGGUAUUCAAUUGCUUUAAAUAUAUAAAUUCAUCUAAUCGCCACAGCGAUCUUAUUAAUUUGUAAUUGUAUUAAAGCCUUUCAGAUGAGGAGAUUUCAGUAUGGGGUUGUUAAAUGAUUUGAUCAAGGACACAAUGCUACUAAGGACAAGAGUCUGGCCAUUUCCAUCAUCCUACUCAAUCCUCAAGCAGAGUACUCAAUUUGAUUUUUUUCUUUAAUGAAUAAAUGCCAUAUCUUAUUGUGAAGACAAAAUUCUUAGUUUGAUAUUAAAAUUGUAUUAAUUACAAAUCAGUAAUUUCAUGUCAAUUUAAAACUAGCAAAUGCAGGUACUCUAUUUGAAAUUUAAAAAAAAUACAAGAUAUUAUUUUCUUUUGCAAGGUAUGAAAGACUAAUAGUUUCUGUGAAAUUAUCGUUCUUUUUAAUAUAUGGUAUACUUUUGCUAUAAAAAUACAUUUCAUCUAAGCCUGGCAUGAGGCUGUUUAGAAAAUAUGUUUAUGUUUAUGCACAGGACUUUUUGAGCAAAACUUGCUGAAAUUUCAGACCUAGGCUAAAAGACAAGCCUAAGAAGUUAAUUUAUAACUCAUUAGCUAGUAAAAAAGAUAGAGAGAUUUACUUCUUCAGAAAUAUGUGUUUGUAUUUCAAAGGGGCAUGUGACGUGGGAAAGGGAGACAUUCCCUGGCUUGUAAAGUUGGAGACUGGUCUUCUAUCUCUCCUAAAGAGAUUCAUUUGUAUUCCAAAGAGUGAGGACCCAGCAUCCUUCCCCUUACGUUUCCACAAAGACUCUCUCUGAAGGGAAUGGGGGACUUUCCUAUAUAAAUUUCUAGAUUUAUCUUUUUGUGGUCUCUUUCCUAUAUAAAGUCUAGAUUUUUUUUCCUUGGUCCUUCACCUACAAUACAGACCCUGUGAUAUCUGGUUUUCAUUUGCCAUUCCAGUGGUAAAAAUCGGGGCACAGAGGAAUCACGCUUAUUAUUUUCUCUAAGUAAAUGAUGAUAAUCUGCUCUGCCCGGAAACUUUUGUGCAUAUAUUGAAGAUGAUAAUAAUAAAUAUAGAUAUUAAAAAUCUAACACCUAGUGUGAAAACUAUUCUGUACAUUAAAAUUAGAAGUCACAGUGUUGAAACACAACGUUAUUGCUUAGUAGUUCAUUUAUUUUGCACAGUUUUGUUUUUAAACUUCCUUGAACUUUAGUUGCUGUGUAAGAUGGUCAUUUUUACAGUGCCAUUGCAAGGUUAAAUGAAAGGACAUUUGUUAAAAAUUGUGAUUUCUCAAGAACUAUAUAGAGAAAAGGAAAGAUGAUGAUGAUGAUGAUGGUGAUGAUGACAUGAUAUUGAUACCAAUGAUGAUAGAUAAUGAUAUUGAUGAUGAUAGAUAGUAAUUUGAAAUUAUUUGGUAAAAUAUCUCCAAAGGUCUUAGGGUCAAAUAAAAUAUUUGAUAUUGGCUCUCUUUUUCCUCUUAUCCUUCUUGCAAAAUCCAAGUUAUUGAAGUUAGAUUAGUGCACAUGCAAAACUGCUAAAUUAUUGCUGAGCAAAAGGCCUGGACAUGGUAAGCAAUCUAGAAAUGGUUUAGUAUGUUGUCUAUCAUGAUGUGAUGAAUAUAUAAGACAGGAAGAAAAAGAAUCAUAACUGUUUGCAGAUGAUAUUUGAAGAUAAGGUAGGUGAGCAGAGAGUCAUGAGAAGUCAGUCCCAGGUGCCUGGUACUUGAGAAAAGCCUCAUUUGGGGAGUAUGGAGCAGAUUGCUACAAUUCCAGUCACUUCUAAAGGAACUUUGUUAGAAAUAUUUGGUUUGGCAUAUUGAUGGUUUCAAUAGUGAGUAUAUUUUAUGAUGACUAAUAAACAUAAGCAAAUGAAUUUAAUUGCAACUGAGAAGAUGUAUAAAUAUAGAAUGUGUGUGAAGAAGUAAAACAAUAACCCUAAUAAUUUGAGAGGAGAAUAAAAUUGCCUCCAUCUUGUAGGCAUUUCAUAGACAGAUGCGUUUAUUUUUCUUUUGCUGUGUUUUGUAUUUUGCUUGAUUUAUAUUAUUUCUCCAUUUUACUUUCAUUGUAAUUCUCAUGUCUAAGGGAGGAUAGUACCCCAGGAAGCAAUUCGUGCAAAAUGAAAGAGAAUUCAGGUUAUUUAAUCUGAAAUACAAAUGGUAAAUUUCAAGAGUGGAAGAAAAAGUUACACUAAUAUCUUUAAACAUAUCCACCUCCCUAUGCACACAGACUGACAAUCAGAAACACACAGGACUAAUGCUUUAAAAAUUCACUGUGAGACCCUUUUUUGUUUAUCUGUUGAAAAGCAAAGAAAAUGUCUAUGAGGGCUUUUUCGAUUUAUGUCAUAGGAUGAAUAAAUUAUAUCAUAGGAUCUGCAAAUAAGAGAAAGGAGAGACCACGAAGGCACUGGGUAUGUCAAGAAAGUCCAUCUGGGAAUGCUGGGAAGAGAAUGGGAAAUGUGAGGAUUGAAGCUCAAGUCCGCUUACAUUUCAUAUAUAUCUAGGUACUGCCUAAUAUUUUCUGCAGUUCAUAAAGCUACAAAUUGGAUUAUACCUAUUAGGCAUAGAAUAAAAUCCUAAGAUUAUGUGCUUUGGUUUUCUCUUUUUAAGAAAAUAUUCCAGGGGCCAGCCUGGUUGCAUAGUGGUGAAGUUCUCACAUUCUGCUUCAGUGGCCGAGGCUUCGCUGGUUCGGUUGCAGACAUAUGUACUGCUUGUCAAGCCAUGCUGUGGCAGACGUCCCACAUAUAAAGUAGAGGAAGAUGGGCACAGAUGUUAGCUCAGGGCCCGUCCUCCUCAGCAAAAAGAGGAGGGGUAGUGGCAGUUGUUACCUCAGGGUCCAUCUUCCUCAAAAAAAGAAAAAAGAAAACAUUCCAGAGAAAUGUAUGUUAACUUUUGGUCUACUGAAAUGGAAUACUUGUCCACAAAAACAUUCCAUAAUAAUUUCCCUUGAAACUGAGAUACUUCACAUUGAUUGCCAACUUCACUCAUGCUGAAAUCAGCCAAAAGACCUCCUAAAUCACCAACAGAUGUUUGCAUACUAAAAGCCAGUGGAAAACUUUAUUUCUUUCCUUUUCCUUCCUUUAUUUGGCUGAAAUUUCCACAUCCUAAAGUAUCCCAAUAUCCGGGGCAUGUAGGCUGGAAAGCCACAGAGUUUUCUCAUCCCUGCAUUUUUACUUAUUUCAAGUGCGUAAUAGGAUAGCAUCAUCAAGGUCUAAUUGUCCUCUGGAUGUGGUCUAAAGAGACUCACAUAGAUCCCAAAGGCACAGCACUUUUACUUUAGGUGCAGAAAGUAGCUUAUAUUAAUUGCUAUAGAUUUAAUCAGUGUUCAGAAUUGUGUUCUGAAAAUUUUAAGAAACAGUGGUAUCACGAAUUAUGUUAGGUACAGGCAAGUGUUUUACACGAACAAGCUUGGAUCACUUGUAGCUCCCUAGACCAAAAAAUAAUGUAAUCAUAAACCUGUUUGUCCAGUGACUCCUACUGCUGGCAAUCCUGAAUUAGAUGUGGCAUAGGUAAACCAACAAAGUCUAUCAGCUCAGAGAAAUCGUGCCAGUACAUAGAAUGUUCAUCUACUCAAAGCGGUGACACAUUUGGGACAAAGUCCUCACAACCUAAACUUGCAGUCCUGACUAUACCAUUAAGAUUCUCAGUCUUGUUUGCCAGAUGCUUAGGUACUUUUUAUCAGUGUGUAGCUUCUCUUGAUUCUUACACUGUGUGUUACAUGGUGCUUUAGCGAUUUCAGUAUCUUAUUCCAAAAAGCUGAUUUCAAAAUAUUCUGAGAGCUAUUUCAUGAUAUCAUGGUAUAUAUCAUGAUAUAUGAUUAAGAACAAUUGAGCAACGUAUGCUUGAGUGCAAUUAUGCUUAUAUAGUAAUCAUAAUAAGUGGGGAACCAUAUAUGGAAUGAGUGCUAUCUGUCAUACAAUGGAUAUAUUAUUGUCUUAGUCUGUUCUGGCUGCUAUUAACAAACUAUCAUAGACAAGGUUGCUUCUAAUUAAUAAAAAUUGCCUUGAACAAUAGCUUCUGGCUUUAGUUAAGAUGGCUGACUAAUCUCCUUAUCAAAUGGUUAUUUACCCACACCCUCAUUUUUCAUCUUUUAUUGUAUGAAUAGGCUGAGAAUUUUCCAAAUCUUUAAUUUCUGCUUUUUCUUGAUUAACAAUUCCAUCUUUAAGUCAUUUUUCUCCUCACAUUUUACUGUAAGCAGUCAGGAGGAAGCAGGCUGUUCCUUCAACACUUUGCUUAGAAAUUCCUUAGCUAAAUAUCCAAUUUCAUUGCUCGCAAGUUCCACCUUCCACAAAACACUGGAACAUGACAAUUCAUCCAAAUUCUUUGUCACUUUAUAACAAGGAUGACCUUUCUUCCGUUGUCCAAUAACGUGUUCCUCAUUUUCACCUGAGACCUCAUCAAAAUGGCCUUUACCGUCUAUGUUCCUACCAACAUUAUGUUCAGGAUGACUUAGUUAUUCUCUAAGAAGACUGAAGCUUUCUCUAUGGCUCUCCUGUUUAAGAGCUUUCACCAGAAUUACUCUGAAGGGUCCAUUAAUGGUAGUGUAGGCUUUUUCUAGGUGCACCUCCAAACUCUUCUGGCCUCUACCCAUUACCCAGUUCUGAGGCUACUUCUGCAUUUUUAAGUAUUUGUUAGAGUAGCACCCCACUUCUGGUAUCAACUUCUGUCUUAGUCUAUUUGGGAAGUUAUAACAAACUACCAUAGACUGGGUGACUUAUAAACAACAAAAUUUUAUUUUUCACAGAUCCAGAGGCUAGGAAAUUCAAGGCACUGGCAUGUUCAUGUUUGGUGAAAGUCCGCUUCCUGGUUCUUCACAUGGUGGAAGAGAUAAAGGAGCUCUCUGGAGCCUCUAUUAUAAGGGCCCUAAUCUCAUUGGUGACCUGGUGAGAAGUGGAUGAACUCUGCAUGUGCAAGAAUUCAGCCUCCCACCUCAAUGCCUCCGCCCCAUCCAGACAAUACUUAGGAUGUCACAAAACAUGACUAAGGUAAAGGAUGACAAGAAGAAGAAAGAGUCUAUUCUCGGGCUUUGAAUUUCAAAAGACACUUUGAGCGUUGGGACUUCCAGGAUGGCAAACUGAAGAGCUCAGUAGAACCUCUCCCCAAAGGCAACUGUGAAACUGGACGGAAUAGACACUAACAAGAAUUUCAGGAUUUUGGAAGUUAAUCAAAGGUUUACAACACUUCAGACAUGUUAAUCUUGAAAAUUUACUAAACUUUUGAACAGUGAGAGCCUGUGGCAGUCUUGCCUGAAUCGACUCCCUCUCCCCGUCGUUUGGUGGGACAAGCCAGAACAACAAGCUUUGCUGAUCGAUGGAGCUCACUGGAUUUGGACUGAAGAAGAAAAAGCACCGGCCUAGUCAGUAACAAUAGUGCUCUCAGUAGCUAAUGAACAGGGAUGACAAGUGACUUAGCUAGCUUUGGGUUGUAACCCUGAUAGGGAAAUUUAACAAUGAGGUCUCAGAAAUGAAAAAUCCGUAGUGGGCCAUGAGAAGUUUUCCGUAUAUCCCUGGCUUUCUGUGAGCCUGGAUAAAUGUGUAGGGGAGGUGUCAGAGAACUAUGCAGAAAGCAAAAGCUGGGGAAGAAGAAAAAUGCCUGAACUUUAAAUACACAGCACAGCCCAUGCACGGAUCCACUGAAGUGAUAGAAAUAUUCUGACUUUUCACAGUGGUAUUUAUUGUACAAAUCUAAAAACUUACUCAAAGUCAUUAAAUUGCACAAUUACAAGGGGUGAAUUUUAUGGCAUGUAAAUAGUACUUUAAUAAAGCUAUAAAACAUGUGAAGGGACACUAAAAAAAUUUAUUUUGCAAUUAAUUUCCAGAGACAAUAAUUUGGUACAAAAGUGUUCUGGGCAUCUCAAACUUGUCUUUUGAGGUUUUGAGGUGUCCAUAGCUCAGGACAGAGAAGGGAGUCAGAGAUGCAAGUGAGCCAGACCUCAUUGGAAAUCCUUGACAAAAGGUUCUUUCUCCUAGUCAUUUCCAGGCUAACUGGCAGGUUGCAGAAAGAUGGUGGAAUGAAGAGAACGGGAGAAAAAAAUAUCGAAGACAACCUGCUUUUUUCCCCUUCAGAGGAAUUAAUAAGGCAAACAAGUAAAUCCUCUGUUUCCUUGGAACCACAGGGUGAUAAAGCAGGGAUGUAAAAAUUCGUAUGGGGUAUUAGUUGAAAUAGAGGCCUGAAGCAGAUUUUGAAAGUCCCCACAAACUCCAGGACUAGCUGUGCUGCACACAAAUGAUUUCCAGUAAGGCUGUGGAUGCCACGAUGGGUAGGUGCCACAAAAAGAAACCAGUGGAAAUGAGUUGUGACAGCAAAUGAACAUGCCAGCUUGCACAGUGGUUGAUAAAGAACUCUGGGUCUCUCUGUAGCACAUUGGCCAUAUGUAAUCCUCCUCAGAAUUAACAGCAACUCUGUAACUUAGGAGAAACCCUGAAUUAAGUUCAUUGAUGGUCAUUAAAUUGAAUAUUCUAAAUUGAACAAGUUUAAUUUCCUACAAUUGUUGAAAUAAGCAUUCAGGUGAAAAAUAAGUUCAGAAAUAUGAAACUAUGAAAAGUUAAACAUCUUAGAAACCUGACUUUAGGGUCAUAGAAGCACAUCAUAGAUUUAUGAAAAUGUACAUAGGACACCUUUCAAGGACACAAGUAUAGCAAGAUUAUACAGUGAGUUAAACAUACUUUUCUGACUGGAUACCACCUCAGAUUACAUAAAACGUUACUAAGUAUCAUCAUCAUAUUCAUUAUCAAGAAAUGCUUAUUAAAAACUUCCUUUCAGGGGCUGGCCCUGUGGCCGAGUGGUUAAGUUCGCGCGCUCCGCUGCAGGUGGCCCAGUGUUUUGUUGGUUUGAAUCCUGGGCGUGGACAUGGCAGUGCUCAUCAAACCACGCUGAGGCAGCAUCCCACAUGCCACAACUAGAAGGACCCACAACGAAGAAUAUACAACUAGGUACUGGGGGGUUUUGGGGAGAAAAAGGAAAAAAUAAAAUCUUAAAAAAAAAAAAAAAAAACUUCCUUUCACAUAAAUGUGUCAAAUAUACAAAAUUAAACUUUUUUUAUUCAGAGUGUUGAAAGGCCACUAAAGUAUAACUUAGAAGAACUAGGGUCCCAUUCACAUUCUGCUUCUAACUAAGCCUGAAAAAAUAAUUUAAAAUCUCUGGACCAAUGCUUUCUUAUUUUUAUAAAUGAGACAUGAAGCAAGAUGAUCUAUAAACCUCUUCCAGUAAUGGAAUUUUAUGACCAUAAUAUAGGCUAUAUGCUGCUUCGAAUACUUGGUGCAGCAAGAUUGGACAUUUAAUUAGUCAAUUAAUUAAAUCAGUCAAUAUUGUCAAAGAGAUCACUGAAGUGACACUGACAAAUACAUACCUUAAACAGAAUGAAUUGUUAUUUAUAUUAAAUUUCUUAUAUGAAUUAAAAUUUCUUAAAGAUGUUAAGAGACAAGGACAUUUUGUGACAUGAUUCAUAAUAGUUCAGUCAGGGGAUAAGAUUUUGAAUACAGGAUAAACCACCUAUUUUUCUGAAUGAAAAUUCACGGACGAUAAUCUUGUCAGUAGUUUAGCUCUUUCUAGAAAUAUUUGCACUCUCCAUGAACAGUGAAAAAUAACAUACACUUAGAUUGACAUCACUCAGCUAAGUAAUUUUUGAAAAUAUACAGGAGUCUUUUUCCAAGCAAGUCCAAAGAAAUAUGUUCAACAAUUGCCCAUGAAACAAAGAGAAUUACUGACAGAGGUUACAAAUGUGGGCAGAAGUUGUUGAGGCCACAACAACCUUUGCUCUGUUACAGUGACGCACAGGUGAAGUAAAUCUAAUAAGACAAUUGGAUUACUAGGAGAAAGCUUCUGAAAACCCAGUGAUUACGUCAGGUAAAAAAUAAUAAAGUGCGACUCUUGUACUUACUGAGACACAAAAAGGCAAUUAUGCAAAAAGACACUUAAAAGCUGUGCUGCUAAGAAUAUAGUCCUAAUCUUUCUUAAUCCCCCUUCCUUUCAAGUACCACUUUCCCAAUAUUUUCUUCAUUUUAAAUUCUCUUGGAAAACAUCCCUCGUGUUCACUAUCAUGUAGCAUUUAGUGAAUCUAUUUUUCUGUCUACCAUCAAACUUAAAUAACACUCCCUUCAUUGCUUUAAAACAUGUUUCUUCUUAAUAAUUAUCUUGAAAUUUUCACAUAUCCUUUCACCACUUUUUCCCAUACAUGUAUAUGUAGGAUUUUAGGAACCCAGCUAAUAGGAAUGGCUUUUCUUUAUUUUAAAUUCAGUAUUCUUGUGGAAUUUUGGAGUGUGACAACUAAGGGCCUUUCAGGAUUCUAUUUCAUCUCUUGCACCUUAUUCAUCUCUAAUAUCUAUCACCUAUCAUCAGGUCUGACAUAAAAUACAUACAACCUUAUUAUUUAACAGCUGCCCAGAGUAAAGGUAACCAAAUGAACAUUGCCAUAGAUGGAAUUGAAAAGCCAAAGGAAUUGACUGAAAUAGAAAUAUAUAGGUGACUGUCUGAGGGCACCUCAAAGGGUACUAUCUGAGAGCAUGCAUGGUCUGCUAAUUUAAGACGGCAACACAAUGCAUAAAUCCAACUGGAAAGAAACAUGCUCAUAGAGGAGAAUCAAUUUCAGUAAUGAGGUCUAUCACAGUAAUAGCCUUAUAGCUGGUAGUACACCUCAUUAUUUUUGAAAUCAUCAGCUCAAUCAUUUAUUUAUUGUUCUGAUUAUAAUGUUGAAUAAUUUCCUUGCAAUAAAUCAACAAAAGUUCUGCUUUAUAUAUAUAAUCUACUUAUGUAUACAUAUAUAUGAAAUUCUUGAUAGAUGGUUUUUAUUAACUUUGCCCUUGAAUCUUGCCCACUUAGUUGGUCAAUUAACUCUCUUUUGAAGUAUUGAUUCCCCUCAUUUAGCAAAGGAUAUCUAUCUGGUUUAAUAAUAUUUUUAAAUAUGACUUUUCCAAAAAAAAUUUAAAAGUAUUUAAGAUAGAUACUUGAGUUAAAUUAGGAAAAAUGGGUUAUUCUUUUUGAAACUGCAAUAAUAUAUUAUUACUGAAACUUUUGAAAUACAAUUUACUCACAUACCCCUUGGAUACUAUAAAAUCUGUCUCAUAUAAUGACAAAUAAUGGGCACCUUAUUUUAGGAGAUUCUUUUAAAAGUCCAUUUUUUAAAUGAAAUGUUUUCGGGCAUAGUUAUUUCAUUUGGUUUCCAUUAAUAUUGACAAAUAGAAAAAAAAGAACAUUCCUCUCAUAGUUUAGCUUUUUGUGAAAAGCAGUAUAUCAGAAUGAUUGUGGCACAGAUUGUGGCGUUAACCCACAGUUUGAAUCUGACUAAAUCAACUCCUAGUACCGAGAUAUUAGAGAAGGUAUCUAACUUUUCUGUGCUUCUAUUUUUACCUCCUUAAAAUGGACCUAAUGAUAUAACUUCCUUCAUGCAGAUGUUGAGCUAAAAUGGUAUAUAAAAGACCUGGAAGUGCCUGGCACAUAGAAAAUUCUGGAAAGUUUUGGCUGUUAUUGUUCUCCCUCCGAAUUUAUGCUAUUAAAAAUGUUUCAAGCUUGUCAAGCUUGUCAAGGUGAAAAAAAUUAAAACAUAAAAGUUAAAAGAAAAGCAAAAUAGAUAAAUUCGAGACCAUUUUCAAGUUGAAGAAGCCUAUAAAUGUUAGAAAAGUGAAAUGGAGAAAAACAUGUAGGAGACUGCUGUUACCAUAGACAGAGAAGGAUAACAAAGAUAAAAUGAGAAGGCAGGGAAAGACGAAGGAUAGCUACAGGAGGAAAUCAAGCAGAGGCCUGGGUUAUAAGCUGGAGAAGUGUAAAGGGAGUCACGGUGGAAAUAUGAUAGCAGAUCAAAGAAAUAGCUACAUAAUGAAAGGGAGAUAAGUAAAGUGAGAGGGUAAGAAGUAUCCCCUUUUCUCUAUUCAAAAUGCACUUGAAAAGAAAGAAAAAUCAGCCUUGUAAGAAAGUAUUAAAAAAAAUAGCGAGCAUGUUUAUAUACAGUCUUGAGUCGCUUAACUGCGUGGACGGGGGCGCUUCUGAUUGAUGUGUCGUUAAGCGAUUUGUCGCUGUGCGAACAUCACAGCGUGUGCUUACACAAACCUAGGUUGGAACAGCCUACUACACACCUAGGCUACAUCGUACUAAUAUGGGACCAUCAUUAUGUAUGCGGUCCGUCGUUGACUGAAACGUUGUCAUGUGGCGUACGACUGUACUUUAGGUAGCAAACUUAAAGACAAUUAUGAAUGAAGAAAAGGAAGAAAACAUUUAACACAAUAGACAGAAGCUGUGUAGGAUUUGCGGAAAUAUAAAACAAAAUAGACCCCCCCCCCAAAAAAAAAGAGAGAUUAAAACAAAGAAAAAUGAGUUCACCAGAGACUAGACUAGGAAGGACUUGGAAAAUAAGUUGUCUACUUUGGAUUUUAGAAGAUAUUCUUAUAAGAAAUUUUUCCUGUGAUCUUUCUAAGUAUUUCCAUUUUAACUUUUUUAUUCCCAAGUGAAAAAUAUCUUAAAAAUAUCUAUCUCUGCUCUUUUAUUUUCUUUCUUAUAUAUCAUUUGCAUAUUCCAUGGGCUAUUUUUAUUUUUUUAUUAUUUGUAUAUGUAAUGAUAAAAAAAGUAUCUUCUUUCAUUUGCACAUUUCAAAUAG
ensembl:lncRNA